AUUGAACGCUGGCGGCAUGCCUUACACAUGCAAGUCGAACGGCAGCACGGGGCAACCUGGUGGCGAGUGGCGAACGGGUGAGUAAUGCAUCGGAACGUACCUUUCAGUGGGGGAUAACGUAGCGAAAGUUACGCUAAUACCGCAUAUUCUGUGAGCAGGAAAGCAGGGGAUCGCAAGACCUUGCGCUGAUUGAGCGGCCGAUGUCAGAUUAGCUAGUUGGUGAGGUAAAGGCUCACCAAGGCGACGAUCUGUAGCGGGUCUGAGAGGAUGAUCCGCCACACUGGAACUGGGACACGGUCCAGACGCCUACGGGAGGCAGCAGUGGGGAAUUUUGGACAAUUGGGGCAACCCUGAUCCAGCCAUGCCGCGGGAGUGAAGGAGGCCUUCGGGUUGUAAAGCUCUUUCGGCCGGGAAGAAAUCGCACGGGCUAAUACCCUGUGUGGAUGACGGUACCGGAAUAAGAAGCACCGGCUAACUACGUGCCAGCAGCCGCCGCCGUAA
rnacentral:rRNA from 1 species